rnacentral:rRNA from 1 species
CCAAUAGCGUAUAUUAAAGUUGUUGCAGUUAAAAAGCUCGUAGUUGAAUUUCGGGAUCAAGGAAUCGGUCAUGCCUCGGUAUGUACUGGUUUUAUUGGUUCUCACCUUCUAAAGAACCAUAAUGUCAUUCAUUUGAUGUUAUGGGGAAUUAGGACUGUUACCUUGAAAAAAUUAGAGUGUUUAAAGCAGGCUUACGCUUGAAUACUUUAGCAUGGAAUAAUGAAAUAGGACAUCAGAUUCUAUUUUGUUGGUUUCUAGGAUCGAUGUAAUGAUUAAUAGGGAUAGUUGGGGGCAUUAGUAUUCAAUUGUCAGAGGUGAAAUUCUUGGAUUUAUUGAAGACUAACUACUGCGAAAGCAUUUGCCAAGGAUGUUUUCAUUAAUCAAGAACGAAAGUUAGGGGAUCGAAGACGAUCAGAUACCGUCGUAGUCUUAACCAUAAACUAUGCCGACUAGGGAUCGGAUGAUGUUAAUUUUAUAAUGACUCAUUCGGCACCUUACG